rnacentral:rRNA from 1 species
GGUUGAUCCUGCCAGUAGUCAUAUGCUUGUCUCAAAGAUUAAGCCAUGCAUGUCUAAGUAUAAUGGUUAUACUAUGAAACUGCGAAUGGCUCAUUAAAUCAGUUAUAGUUUAUUUGAUGGUACCUACUACUCGGAUACCCGUAGUAAUUCUAGAGCUAAUACGUGCGCACAUCCCGACUUCUGGAAGGGACGUAUUUAUUAGAUCCAAGGCCGACCGGGCUUGCCCGACUCGCGGUGAAUCAUGAUAACUUUACGAAUCGCAUGGCCUUUGUGCCGGCGAUGUUUCAUUCAAA